UUCUCCAUACUUUUUCACCAUUUGGAUGAACUUCGAGUGGGGAAUAUGAAAUAAAGUUACGGCGGGUAGCCUAUAACAUAGUUCCAGUAGCCUACCGCUAGCCGGCAUCUGUUUUAAUCUGGCUAUUCGCCGUUUCGUUUACUGGGUAUGAACUCCAAGAGUUCAUUCCAAUUUGUCAAAAACAUUGUUUUGACGUAGAUGAACCCCAAAACAGUGUUGCAGAAUAUACCGAUUUAUCGAUAUUUAAACCGAUUUUUAAUUUCAAUACCAAUAAUGUUACUAAAAAUACCGAUUUCUUUUUUCUUACCAAAAAAUCACGAUUUUCAUAUAAUAAGAUAUAAUAAGAUCAAUAUUAUUACGUAUGGGCCUUUUUAGAAAAUGUCUUCACCUUUCCACAUCAAAUCAUCCGGAAAUUGAUUCAGCAAUCUGCCAGGUUACAAAAAAAUACAAAUAUGUUAAUACGGAAUGCUCUGACGAUUUUUUGAGGACACAUUUUAUGACCCAGGUACACCCAUAAAGGUACACUGUCAGAGUGACAGCAUACUUUGAUGAAAUUGUGCUAAAACUGGCUGCACUGAUAGAUUUGUUUUUGAUUGUUUGACACUUCUAAAUAUUUUAGUUUUCUGCAGAAAAAAUCUCAGAAAACUAACGACUGAUUUUUGUCGACGUCGGGCACCAGUUACAGUUACAGUUUGAAAUUAUAUCUCACCUCGGAUGAACGCGCCCGUUAUGUGUUACCCCGCAACAGCUGACUUAACUGAUUGUUCAAAUCCUCGAAUUUAUCCUGCUCGCUGUCGUUCAUGUUUUUAUUACUUUCCCCUAGUUCUACACAAUCAUUAGCCAUUGGAUCGGUUCGUGAUUUUAGGGAAUAGUAAACGUUAUGAAAAAAUCCAUUGUAUAAUAUAAUUAUAGUGUAUAAUUCAUGAAUCCGAAGUGGUUCAAAAGGAUGUCGCUGUACAGAUUCAGAGCGGCCGUUUCCAGCUCAGCAAAAGUGAAAGCCACUUGACGGUUAAAUUCGUAGUGUGUCCGCUGAUAGCGCUCGGGGACAGAAAAAUCUCAUAGGUCAGAGUCGCUUCCGACUUCGUUACCGUCAACAUUAAACACAACAGCAAGAUACUUGGAAAGGACUUUCUCGUUCAAACAAACAUAAUGGAAGCGUAUUCUACACGCACAUAUUCACUCGGGCCAACCGUGUGACUCAUUUGGAAAAAGGACUCAUCGUCGGUUUCAUGGCAGCGAAGUGAGCAGACAAAAAAGGCAUCGUUUUUUUCCACAUGAUCGUUCUGAGCAAAAUUCAGCGAUUUGCCAGGCAUAAACCACCGAUGAGACAGUACCCGUUCGGAUUCAGGACGUUUUCCCAUACAUUGUACCCGGUCGAAGCGAUGGCAAGCGAUGCAGAUAACUGGGUCAAAAAGGCGGAGGUUCUGGGAAUUUCUGCACUCGUUAGCGAUCUGAGUAUGACCAAGGACAAGGAAUCAGAACCGGCGACUGACAGUCCAGAGAAAGAGAAUGCGGAAAAACCUUCUAGUCCAUAGCUCCUGAAGAAAAACGAGCUGAAGCGAAUAUGGAGAAACAGCUUCCUCCACGGAAAAUGCAGAGGCAUGCAACGCGGCGGAUGCAAGUUUGCUAAUUGAAAUUAUUCGCAAAGAUCUAGUAGAAUUAAAACUGGAGGUGCUGCGAAACGAUCCUUUUUCGACGCUAUACUCGGUUAAAACUAUCGACGCUUUGCACUUGAUGCCGGAACUGCCCACCCCGAGAGCAGAUGAGCGCUGGGGAAUGUUUUCAGCCACCUGGAGGAGGAAGUUCAGCGCGGAAGAAAUGUUACCAGACUUCGCCGAUCUGGUAUCUGGACGUUUUUGAUGAUCUCAUAGAGAUUGGGUGUGCAGAUGGGCGUUUAAAGUUCUGGGAGGGAACGACUGGUAACUUUUAGGUAAAUUGUUUGGAGUCAUUUGUUUUUGCCUUUCUCAUAUAGAAAGGUUAUGCAAUCACUCUGAAAAACGUAAACCUAAUCCCGGCCCGGAGGGCCGGGUGUCAUAUCCCAUUCGACUCAGUUCGUCGAGAUCGGAAAAAGUCUGUAUGUGUGUGUGUAUGUAUGUAUGUGUGUGUGUAUGUGUAUGUGUGUGUAUGUAUGUGCGUAUGUGUCAAAUAAUGUCACUCAUUUUUCUCAGAGAUGGCUGGACCGA